AGCUACUUCUACUGGAUUUGCUUCCUAGCCCUUUCGCAGCAAGGGUGAGGAUAGCAUUGGCUGAAAAGGGAUUAAAUUAUGAGUCCAGAGAAGAAGAUUUGAGCAACAAGAGCCCUCUUCUUCUCAAGAUGAACCCAGUUCACAAGCAAAUCCCAGUGUUGAUCCAUAAUGGCAGACCUAUAUGCGAAUCAAUGGUAAUAGUUCAAUAUAUUGAUCAGGUAUGGAACCACAAAUCCCCAUUGUUGCCUUCUGAUCCUUAUCGACGAGCACAUGCUAGGUUCUGGGCUGACUAUAUCGACAAGAAGAUUUACCCUAUUGGACGGAUGCUGUGGGCAUCAAAAGGUGAAGUGAAAGAAGCUUCAAAGAAGGACUUGAUUGAAUGCUUUAAAAUAUUGGAGGGAGAGCUUGGAGACAAGCCAUACUUUGGAGGUGAAAGCUUCGGCUACAUUGAUUUAGCACUCAUUCCAUUCUAUAGCUUCUUUUACACAUUUGAGACUUUGGGAAACUUCAGCGUGGUAGUGGAGUUCCCUAAGCUCAUGGACUGGGCUCAGAGAUGCUUGCUGAAGGAAAGUGUGUCCAAGUCUUUAUGUGAUCAGCGCAACGUUUAUGAAGCUGUUUUGGAGAUAAGGAAGAAGUUGGGGGCUGAAUAGACCUUCCAUAAGAGCAAAGCCAGCCAGCUGCUUGAUACUCUUUUGCAC
rnacentral:misc_RNA from 1 species